CCACACCUCGUCACAGUGGUCAACUAUCAACAAUCAUCUCUAUCUCUCGCCUGGGAUCGGAUCAUGAGGGCGUCUAGCGUUGCAUUGGGCGUGUGGGCGUGCGUUCUGCUGAUGGGCGUGGGCGUGGAUCCUUCCCCCGCCCCGUGCUGCAGGGGGGUCGGCACCCUGGCGGUAGGCGCUUUGGCUUUCACUGGGGGCGUUCUUGUCGCGAAGCACCAUUAUCGGCAUCAUCAU